UCGCUUUUCCUCUGAUUAGGGAUCUGGGGGAGCCCCCAGCCCCUCACGUCUCUGAUCCCAAAGCUGGGAGCGCCUUCAUGUGCCCUGGGCUGCGGGGGAGUUCAGGCCGAGCCCGGAUCCCCACCAAAACCACCACACAUCCAGUGGAAAAAUGACCAUUCGUUGCUAAGGAUAAAGUACUUAAUCUCCCAGAUAUGCUACCCAUUCGUGCCGACUGUUCAUUUAAAUUCAUCACGACACAAGAAAGCGUACUGCAACAGGGGCCAUGAAUUUUGAUUGGGACCCUUCUGUACAACAAACAGAGACAAGAAGAACUGAAAGUGCAAUGGAAGAAUCUGGAGUCAGACGAACUACAGUUAUGAUGGAGGGACACGCAGAGGGUUCUUGUUCACGGCCACUUACUCAGACAGUGAUGGAGCUGGGAACUGGAUCCAUAUGUCUUGGCUGUCAGUCUCGCAUUCACUUGGCCAUCUAUCACUGGUCUCCCUUUGUCAUAGUUUAUUUCCCUAACAUAUGCUUCUCAUGAUGUUAUUCUUCAGCACUGAGAGACUUCUCUAACAUCAAGACAAAAACCAUCUGUAGUUGUGCAAUUAAAGCCUUAAUCAGACCUUUGGACAUCUUUCCUGGCUUUGGCUAGUUUUAAA